rnacentral:rRNA from 1 species
GACGAACGCUGGCGGCGUGCCUAAUACAUGCAAGUAGAACGCACAGUUUAUACCGUAGCUUGCUACACCAUGGACUGUGAGUUGCGAACGGGUGAGUAACGCGUAGGUAACCUGCCUGGUAGCGGGGGAUAACUAUUGGAAACGAUAGCUAAUACCGCAUAAUAUUGAUUAUUGCAUGAUAAUUAAUUGAAAGGUGCAAUUGCACCACUACCAGAUGGACCUGCGUUGUAUUAGCUAGUAGGUGAGGUAACGGCUCACCUAGGCGACGAUACAUAGCCGACCUGAGAGGGUGAUCGGCCACACUGGGACUGAGACACGGCCCAGACUCCUACGGGAGGCAGCAGUAGGGAAUCUUCGGCAAUGGACGAAAGUCUGACCGAGCAACGCCGCGUGAGUGAAGAAGGUUUUCGGAUCGUAAAGCUCUGUUGUAAGAGAAGAACGGGUGUGAGAGUGGAAAGUUCACACUGUGACGGUAUCUUACCAGAAAGGGACGGCUAACUACGUG